AUGUUUUAGUAGCUUAAGCUGCUUAAAGCCCUG
rnacentral:tRNA from 1 species